UUCAAAUUAGAGCUUGUAUAAGUAUUUUAUUUACACUAAAGAGAAAAUUAUUAAUUUAAUUUAAUUU
rnacentral:tRNA from 1 species